rnacentral:rRNA from 1 species
UAGUGGCGAACGGGUGAGUAACACGUGAGUAACCUGCCCUUGACUCUGGGAUAAGCCUGGGAAACUGGGUCUAAUACUGGAUAUGCACCGUGGACCGCAUGGUUCUUGGUGGAAAGAUUUAUUGGUCAAGGAUGGACUCGCGGCCUAUCAGCUUGUUGGUGAGGUAAUGGCUCACCAAGGCGACGACGGGUAGCCGGCCUGAGAGGGUGACCGGCCACACUGGGACUGAGACACGGCCCAGACUCCUACGGGAGGCAGCAGUGGGGAAUAUUGCACAAUGGGCGAAAGCCUGAUGCAGCGACGCCGCGUGAGGGAUGACGGCCUUCGGGUUGUAAACCUCUUUCAGUAGGGAAGAAGCGAAAGUGACGGUACCUGCAGAAGAAGCGCCGGCUAACUACGUGCCAGCAGCCGCGGUAAUACGUAGGGCGCAAGCGUUAUCCGGAAUUAUUGGGCGUAAAGAGCUCGUAGGCGGUUUGUCGCGUCUAUCGUGAAAGUCCGAGGCUCAACCUCGGAUCUGCGGUGGGUACCGGCAGACUAAGAGUUGAUGUUAGGGGAAGACUGGAAUUUCCUUGGGUGUAACCGGUGAAA